ACGAACGCUGGCGGCGUGCUUAACACAUGUAAGUCGCACGGAAAGGCCCUGCUUUUGUGGGGUGCUCGAGUGGCGAACGGGUGAGUAACACGUGAGUAACCUGCCCUUGACUUUGGGAUAACUUCAGGAAACUGGGGCUAAUACCGGAUAGGAGCUCCUGCUGCAUGGUGGGGGUUGGAAAGUUUCGGCGGUUGGGGAUGGACUCGCGGCUUAUCAGCUUGUUGGUGGGGUAGUGGCUUACCAAGGCUUUGACGGGUAGCCGGCCUGAGAGGGUGACCGGCCACAUUGGGACUGAGAUACGGCCCAGACUCCUACGGGAGGCAGCAGUGGGGAAUAUUGCACAAUGGGCGGAAGCCUGAUGCAGCAACGCCGCGUGCGGGAUGACGGCCUUCGGGUUGUAAACCGCUUUCGCCUGUGACGAAGCGUGAGUGACGGUAAUGGGUAAAGAAGCACCGGCUAACUACGUG
rnacentral:rRNA from 1 species